UACGUAGGGUGCGAGCGUUAAUCGGAAUUACUGGGCGUAAAGCGUGCGCAGGCGGUUGGUUAAGUCUGAUGUGAAAGCCCCGGGCUCAACCUGGGAAUGGCAUUGGAAACUGGCUAGCUGGAGUGUGGCAGAGGGGGGUGGAAUUCCGCGUGUAGCAGUGAAAUGCGUAGAGAUGCGGAGGAACACCGGUGGCGAAGGCGGAUCUCUGGGCCUUACCUGACGCUCAGGUGCGAAAGCGUGGGGAGCGAACAGG
rnacentral:rRNA from 1 species